CCUACGUGGGGCAGCAGUGAGGAAUAUUGGUCAAUGGGCUUACGCCUGAUCCAGCCAAGUCGCGUGAGUGAAGAAUGCCCUAGGGGUUUUAAACCCUUUUUGUCAGGGAGCAACUCCGGCUACGUGUAGCCGGACUGAGAGUACCUGACGACAAAGCAUCCGCUAACUCCGUGCUAGCAGACGCGGUCAUACGUGGGAUGAGAGCGUUAUCCGGAUUAAAGGGGUGAUAAGGAUUCGUAGGCGGAAUGCCAGGUCAGCGGGAAAAACGCGGGGCGAACCCUAGCUCCGCUGUUGAGACUGGCGAUCUUGAGUGGGCGAGAGGUAUGCAGAAUGCGUGGUGUAGCGGUGAAAUGCGUAGAUAUCAGGCAGAACACCGAUUGCGAAGGCAGCCUACUGGCGCACAACUGACGCUGAAGCGCGAAAGCGUGGGUAGCGAACAGGAUUAGAUACCCCUGUAGUC
rnacentral:rRNA from 1 species